rnacentral:rRNA from 1 species
UACGGAGGGGGCUAGCGUUGUUCGGAAUUACUGGGCGUAAAGCGCACGUAGGCGGCUUUGUAAGUUAGAGGUGAAAGCCCGGGGCUCAACCCCGGAAUUGCCUUUAAGACUGCAUCGCUAGAAUUGUGGAGAGGUAAGUGGAAUUCCGAGUGUAGAGGUGAAAUUCGUAGAUAUUCGGAAGAACACCAGUGGCGAAGGCGACUUACUGGACACAUAUUGACGCUGAGGUGGCGAAAGCGUGGGGAGCAA